rnacentral:rRNA from 1 species
CAAUAGCGUAUAUUAAAGUUGUUGCAGUUAAAAAGCUCGUAGUUGGAUUUCUGGUUGACGCGACCGGUCGGGCGUUGAUUCGUCUGCACUGGAGUCGGUUUUGGCCAUCCUCUAGGAAAGUGCGUCUGGUAUUAAGUUAUCGGGCGUAUGAUCCUGGUCUUUUACUGUGAAAAAAUUAGAGUGUUUAAAGCAGGCCUUCGCCUUGAAUACAUUAGCAUGGAAUAAUAAGAUAGGACUUUGGUCUAUUUUGUUGGUUUGCAGACCGAAGUAAUGAUUAAUAGGGAUAGUUGGGGGUAUUUAUAUUCCGAUGUCAGAGGUGAAAUUCUUAGAUUUUCGGAAGAUAAACUUAUGCGAAAGCAUUUACCAAGGAUGUUUUCAUUAA